rnacentral:rRNA from 1 species
UACGGAGGGUGCGAGCGUUUGUCCGGAAUCACUGGGCGUAAAGGGCGCGUAGGCGGCCUGAUAAGUAGGGGGUGAAAUCCUGCGGCUUAACCGCAGGGCUGCCUUCUAAACUGUCAGGCUUGAGCACAGUAGAGGCAGGUGGAAUUCCCGGUGUAGCGGUGGAAUGCGUAGAGAUCGGGAAGAACAUCAGUGGCGAAGGCGGCCUGCUGGGCUGUUGCUGGACGCUGAGGCGCGACAGCGUGGGGAGCAAACAGGG